UUCCGGUUGAUCCUGCCGGACCUUACUGCUAUCGGGAUGAGACUAAGCCAUGCAUGUCGAGCGCUCUUCAGCUAUGUAGAGAGCGCGGCGAACGGCUCAAUAACACGUAGUUAACCUACCCUCGGGAUGGGAAUAACCCCGGGAAACUGGGAUUAAUGCCCACUAGAUGAUUAUACCUGGAAUGGCUUAUCAUCGAAAGAGUCUGGAAACAUGCUUCCAGCGUCGCCCGAGGAUGGGACCGCGUCCGAUCAGGUAGUUGGUGGGGUAAUGGCCUACCAAGCCUAUAACCGGUACGGGCCCUGAGAGGGGGAGCCCGGAGAUGGAAACUGAGAAAAGGUUCCAGGCCCUACGGGGUGCAGCAGGCGCGAAACCUCCACAAUGCGCGAAAGCGUGAUGGGGUUAUCCCGAGUGCCGUCCGAUGAGGAUGGCUUUUUAUCGAUGUAAGGAUUCGAUAGAAUAAAGGGGGGGCAAGACUGGUGUCAGCCGCCGCGGUAAUACCAGCCCCCUGAGUGGUAAGGACGAUUAUUUGGCCUAAAGCGUUCGUAGCCGGCUUAUCAAGUCUUUUGUUAAAUCCAACGAUUCAAUCGUUGGGCCGCAAAAGAUACUGUUAUGCUAGAGGACGGGAGAGGUCGACGGUAGUCCAGGGGUAGGGGUGAAAUCCUAUAAUCCUUGGAGGACCACCAGUGGCGAAGGCGGUCGACUAGAACGUGCCUGACGGUGAGGGACGAAAGCUGGGGGAGCGAACCGGAUUAGAUACCCGGGUAGUCCCAGCUGUAAACGAUGCGGGCUAGGUGUUGGGGCAGCCACGAGCUGCUCCAGUGCCGCAGAGAAGUUGUUAAGCCCGCCGCCUGGGGAGUACGGCCGCAAGGCUGAAACUUAAAGGAAUUGGCGGGGGAGCACACAAGGGUGAAGGCUGCGGUUUAAUUGAGUCAACGCCGGA
rnacentral:rRNA from 1 species